rnacentral:rRNA from 1 species
CCUACGGGUGGCAGCAGUAGGGAAUUUUGCGCAAUGGGCGAAAGCCUGACGCAGCAACGCCGCGUGAUUGAUUAAGCCCUUCGGGGUGUAAAGAACUGUCAGCGGGGACGAAACUUGACGGGACCCACAGAGGAAGCACCGGCUAAACCCGCGCCAGAAGCAGCGGUAAUCUGGAGGGCGCAAGCGUUGUCCGGAACCAUUGGGCGUAAAGAGUUCGGAGGUGGCAUAUUAAGUCUGGAGUUAAAUGCAGAGGCGCAACUUCUGUUCGGCACUGGAUACUGGUAAGCUUGAAGGCGGUAGAGGUAAAGGGAAUUCCUGGUGUAGCGGUGAAAUGCGUAGAUAUCAGGAGGAACAUCGGGGGCGUAAGCGCUUUACUGGGCCGUAAUUGACACUGAGGAACGAAAGCCGGGGUAGCAAAUGGGAUUAGAUACCCUGGUAGUC